GCUUUGAGGCUUUGGUGCCAGUCGGCGUGGUGCGACCCUUGCGAUCCCCCCUGGCGAACUUUGUGGUUCUAGCUGAGGGCCGUUAGCCGUAUCGCGGACGGUGGAUGGUGGGUAGUUGGCCUGGGGCGGUCUCCUCCUAAAGAGUAACGGAGGAGUACGAAGGUGCGCUCGUACCGGUCGGAAACGGGUCGUAGGGAAUAAAGGCAAAAGCGCGCUUGACUGCGUGACAGACACGUCGAGCAGGUACGAAAGUAGGUCUUAGUGACACGGUGGUUCUGUAUGGUAGGGCCAUCGCUCAACGGAUAAAUGGUAAUCCGGGGAUAACAGGAUGAUACCGCACAAGAGUUCAUAUCGACUGCGGUGUUUGUCACCUCGAUGUCGGAUAGUCACAUGCUGGGGCGGAAGGCGCUCUCUAGGGAAGAGCCGUGCGCCACACAACAUGGUACGCGAUACGGUUUUAGCACG
rnacentral:rRNA from 1 species